rnacentral:rRNA from 1 species
AGAGUUUGAUCCUGGCUCAGGAUGAACGCUAGCGGCAGGCUUAACACAUGCAAGUCGAGGGGUAACAGGGAUUGCUUGCAAUCCGCUGACGACCGGCGCACGGGUGCGUAACGCGUAUGCAACCUACCUUCUACAGGGGGAUAGUCAAUAGAAAUGUUGAAUAAUACCCCAUACGAUCUUUGAAUAGCAUUAUUUAAAGAAGAAAGUUCCGGCGGUAGAAGAUGGGCAUGCGUCCUAUUAGUUAGUUGGAGAGGUAACGGCUCCCCAAGACAUCGAUAGGUAGGGGUCCUGAGAGGGAGACCCCCCACACUGGUACUGAGACACGGACCAGACUCCUACGGGAGGCAGCAGUGAGGAAUAUUGGACAAUGGAGGCAACUCUGAUCCAGCCAUGCCGCGUGCAGGAAGACUGCCCUAUGGGUUGUAAACUGCUUUUAUACAGGAAGAAACCUACUUACGUGUAAGUAGCUGACGGUACUGUAAGAAUAAGGAUCGGCUAACUCCGUGCCAGCAGCCGCGGUAAUACGGAGGAUCCAAGCGUUAUCCGGAAUCAUUGGGUUUAAAGGGUCCGUAGGUGGUUUAUUAAGUCAGAGGUGAAAUCCUAUCGCUCAACGAUAGAACUGCCUUUGAAACUGAUAGACUUGAGUUAUUGUGAAGUAGUUAGAAUAUGUAGUGUAGCGGUGAAAUGCAUAGAUAUUACAUAGAAUACCAAUUGCGAAGGCAGAUUACUAAUAAUCAACUGACACUGAUGGACGAAAGCGUGGGUAGCGAACAGGAUUAGAUACCCUGGUAGUCCACGCCGUAAACGAUGGUCACUAGCUGUUUGACUAACAUUGGUUAGUUGAGUGGCUAAGCGAAAGUGAUAAGUGACCCACCUGGGGAGUACGCUCGCAAGAGUGAAACUCAAAGGAAUUGACGGGGGCCCGCACAAGCGGUGGAGCAUGUGGUUUA